UACAGAGGUCUCAAGCGUUGUUCGGAUUCAUUGGGCGUAAAGGGUGCGUAGGCGGCGCGGUAAGUCGGAUGUGAAAUCUCCGAGCUCAACUCGGAAACUGCAUUGGAAACUACCUUGCUCGAGGGUUGGAGGGGGGACUGGAAUGCUUGGUGUAGCAGUGAAAUGCGUAGAUAUCAAGCGGAACACCAGUGGCGAAGGCGAGUCCCUGGACAACUCCUGACACUGAUGCACGAAAGCUAGGGGAGCAAACAGG
rnacentral:rRNA from 1 species